rnacentral:lncRNA from 1 species
UUCAAAGAAGAUAAAAAACUUGCCCCAGGUCACAGUAGGUGAUGGAGCUGGAUGUUGAACUCAAGUGUGUGAUGCCAGAGGCUACACUCUUAACUACUGUGCUAUGUAGAACACUCUAGAAGCACAGAGGAAGGCAGGAAACCCAGCUGAGGGGGGAGGGCCCAGAGAGAAAGGGCGUUGCUGGAAGUCCAUUUGACCUCUGUUCUGGUUAUCCAUCACAAACUACCUCAACUUAAUGCUGUAGACCAGCACUUGUGUACUGUCACCAUCUCUCGUGGUUCUGGGGAGCGACUGGGCUCAUCUGUGGGUUCUCAUUCAGGGUCUCCCAUGUGGUUGCAGUCUGAUGGCGGCUGGGGCAGGAGUUGUCCUUGAAGGCUUCUUCUCUCACCUGUAUGGUGUUGGAGGCUGGCUCUUGGCCAGAACCUCAGCUGGAGCUGUGAGGGCCUUUCCAGGUGACCUGGGCUUCCCGGCAGCAUGAUGGCUGUGUGACAGUGGUCCCGAGAGAGGCAGGUGGAGCUGGGUUACCUUUUAUGACUUAGCCUCGGAAGUAACUUACUGUCACUUCUGCUGUACUCCCCUCACUAGACAUGGGUCACAAAGACCAGCUCAUUUUCAAGGGGCGGGGACUCAGACGUCACCUCUCCAUGGGAUGAGGGUCAAGAAGUUUGCAGCAGUGUUUGUAUAAGCUCGAUAUCAGAAGAUAGGUAGAAGGAUACGUAAGAAGAUAAGGAGCAAAGGAGAGAGCAUCCUCGGCAGCAGCUGAUCCCGGUGUCCAGAACCAGGGCAAGGGAACUGGGGGAGAGUGGAAGAAAGAGGAGGGCAGAUUUUGAGGAGAAGCUGAAAGAAGCUCUGGGGAACAGCUUCCUUUUGAUUGGCUCUCAAAUGGAAGCACAUCUAAAUUAUCAAGAGAUUGGUGGAACAGACAAACAGCAAUGCCUGGAAUGAGGUUUCAAGUGGGAGGACUGUCUAAGGCAGAGGUGGAAAAGGUUGAUGCAUUCAUCAGCUUAAUUUGGAAAAUGGUACGUGACCCAUCUUUGCUUCAGAACACCCGGAAAUGCAUCCCACUGAGCAAAAGACUGAUCAGCCAUGACCUUGCUCCCAGAAGGCAAUUUGAGAUAGAAUAUUUUAUUAUGAACAAGUUGGUUCUACAGUCCCACAAGAGCAGCCAUGCAAUCAAAAGUCUAAGGAUGUCCUGUACAAUGUUGGUGUGUUCUAUACAAUGUUUAUGGGAUGUUAAUUGAUAUCUUGGUAAUAAAAAGAUAACUUCCACCA